GUAGUACUCCCUCCGUCCGGAAAUACUUGUCAUUGAAAUGGGUGUAUCUAGAUGUAUUUUAGUUCUAGAUACAUCCAUUUUCAUCCAUUUUGAUGACAAGUAUUUCCGGCCGGAGGGAGUAUAAC
rnacentral:pre_miRNA from 1 species